rnacentral:tRNA from 1 species
GUGGGUUGGCUCAGUGGUUAGAGCUUUAGGUCUCGUAUUCGAAAGGUCGCGGGAUCGGAUCCCGCUAGAGGUUAACA